GGCUGGGUGGCAGAGUGGCUAUGCAGAGGACUGCAAAUCCUUGUACGUCGGUUCGAUUCCGGUCCUAGCCUCCA
rnacentral:tRNA from 1 species